AGCGCUCGCCCCCGCGUCCGCGAUGAACCUAACCAAGCGGCGAUAUCGCAGCCCCCCCCACCCACCCUGCCCCAACCCCUUGAACGUCCGGGCAGGUGAUGACCUCUCGGAGCGUCGUUGCGCCGGCCAACUCGUCACAGCGACCGACCCCGCUCGCUCCCGACGCUGCCCCCCCCCCAACUCUCCGCUCCCCUGCCCCCCCACCGACUGCAUCACGUCUCCCCCGCCCCGCCCCUACGCAAGUCAUCACUGUGUGCCUAAGGACGUCUUACGCUGCUGCUGCUGCUGAUCUGCCUGGAGGCCGCCCUGGGCGACCUUGGGUUGGAAUUCCAAAGUGGAGCAGUGCGGUGUCAAAAGCGGAAGCAGAAGUGGUGCGACCUGCCGUGUGUCACAGGGGCGGCGGCGCAGCGGUUGGCGCGCCGCACCUCGGACCUUGCGACCCGAGGCCGACUCCCGCGCCGCGGCUGACAUCUGAACCGGUCCUGGGCCUGCCUCCACCCUACGUCUUCACCAAUCGCUACGGACCAGCCUGGUGAAGUAUGGACCCACAACCCUCAUGCCCAACGCGGUGUGGAGUGGGCUUCGACCAGCAGUGGGAUUGACAAAGUGGUUGUGAAUUAUUCAGGUAGGAACAACAGGUUCCACCCUGCCCACCAGGGAUUGUGUUUACUAAAACGUGUCGUUGUUCCUGCGUUUUUGGAUGCUCUGAUGUUUCGCAGGGUACCGCAUCAUAACGUGUUGCAAUUUCCAGGAUUCGUUUUGACACGUGACGAGCCGCGUCUGUUGUGACGUCACAACUGGCGUGACACCAUAACGCGGGCGCAGGUCCCACACAGGGAAACCAUUAAACUCCCGAACGCUCGAUUCGUCAAAGUUAAGCUCGUAGGCUUCCCAAUCCCCUGCCUUCUGCUUCACGUAAUUCCUCGCAAUUGAAACGCGUAAACUCCUCAAAUGCGCGGCGCUAAUUAAACCCGGGAGAAAGGCAGAGGCUUCAAGUCGGGGAACUUCCCCGCGGCGCUGGGGGCGCUCUCGGCAGGGCCCGUGCCCACCGCCUUCCUCUCGUACCCCGGGUGCGAGUCACCCUAGCACCGUGUCCCUCUGUGCCCGCUCCCCCCGCAACCCCAUCCCCCACCCACCCCCACCCCAGCCACACCUCCUUUAUUGUCCCGCGGUUUGUGACGGACGCCUGUGGCUCAGCGCUGGGGCUUUGCGAGAUUCCGCGUCGUCGCUGCAACGGUUAUGAAGGCUCUGUUGUGCAAAGUGGAUGAAAACAAACACCACAAUAAACCGGGACCAU